rnacentral:rRNA from 1 species
GACGAACGCUGGCGGCGUGCUUAACACAUGCCAGUCGAACGGAAAGGCCCUGCUUUUGUGGGGUGCUCGAGUGGCGAACGGGUGAGUAACACGUGAGUAACCUGCCCUUGACUUUGGGAUAACUUCAGGAAACUGGGGCUAAUACCGGAUAGGCGCUCCUGCUGUAUGGUGGGGGUUGAAAGUUUUGGGGGGUUGGGGGGGGACUCGGGGCUUCACAGCUUGUGGGGGGGGUGGUGGUUUACCAGGGUUUUGGGGGUUGGCGGGCCUGGGGGGUGGACCGGCCACAUGGGAACUGAGAUACGGCCCGACCCCCUACGGGAGGCAGAAGUGGGGAUUAUGGCACAAUGGUCGGAAGCCGGAUGCAGCAACGCCGCGUGCGGGAUAACGGCCUUCGGUUGUUAAACCGCUUUCGCCAGUGACGAAGCGUGUGUGACGGUAAUGGGUAAAGAAGCACCGGCUAACUACGUG